rnacentral:rRNA from 1 species
GACGAAGGGGGCUAGCGUUGUUCGGAAUUACUGGGCGUAAAGGGCGCGUAGGCGGCCGCCUAAGUCAGACGUGAAAUCCCUCGGUUCAACCGGGGAACUGCGUCUGAUACUGGGUGGCUUGAAUCCGGGAGAGGGAUGCGGAAUUCCAGGUGUAGCGGUGAAAUGCGUAGAUAUCGGGAGGAACACCGGUGGCGAAGGCGGCGAUCUGGGUAGAUACUGACGCUGAGGUGCGAAAGCGUGGGGAGCAAACAGG